rnacentral:lncRNA from 1 species
GUGUGUGUGUGUCUGUGUCUGGGGGUUAGAGAUGUGUGUUGUGCAUCCUCUCUUGUCCCUCUUGAGUCAACCUGUUGGUCCCACCUCAAGCUCAGAGUGCUGGGAUUGGAGGUGUGAGCGACCAUGCCUGGUUGAAUCUUUUUAUCUUAACAUUCCAAUAUUGUUAUAACGUUCCAAAACCGUGAGCAAUAAAAACACAUCUAAGACAUUGUUUUUCCACUGGCCAUCACAAUACCAUAAACAAAAUUUUGUAACCAAACAAGGAAAAUAGCUUUUUAGGAGAGAGUAUUUUAAUUUCACCAAAUAGAAAUGAGUUAUUGGCAACAAUAACUCUAGAACAGAGGAAUUCACACUUCAAAGUUUUGGGGAAAAAACCAAAAGCUUGAAAUGUGGAGGGUUUUGAGAGGUGUCGUUUUCCCCAGCACUGGGCGUGCUACUUGUGGCUUCUGCCACCUCUGAUUGACAGCGGUGCUGCUCACUAUGGUUUCUUUCUGCCCUGUUCUGAACUGUUUGCCACAGGACAGUGUGCACCGAUGAGGGCCUGCGUUUAUGAGAUUUUAGAUUUUGCAUGAGGGAAGGAAAAGCUGUGUACAGUUCACAGCUGUCUUCUAGUUUCUUCCACACUGUAAAUUAUAAUUCUCUAUGUAGAUAGUAAGGAUGACAAGUCUCUGCUGAGAAAUGAAAAAUGCAAGCAUGUGUCAGGUUGGGAGUGUGAAUGCAGUAAUAGCAUCCAAAUGACAAUGGAAUGCAGGCCCCGCUCUAUGUUGGGAUCUCCUACUCUGGAGAUGCACAGCACAGUGCCCUGCUCUCUCUAGUUACUCCACCUGGACCUUUUGGUCUCUGUUGUGGAUGUACCACAAAAAAAAAUCAAAUGGAAAUAUUUUUGUUUUGUCUUUUAGCAAAGUGAACAUUGAUUUUUAAUUUUUAAUUUUUUUCUUCCCCCCCUUCCCUUCUCCCUCUUGCUCCAGCCCUGCUUACUCUGGCCCUGCUCACUCUGGCUCCAGCCCAUAGGUAUUUUAUUUGUUUCUCAUUACGGAUGGUUGUGAGCCACCAUGUGGUUGCUGGGAUUUGAACUCAUGACCUCCGGAAGAGCAGUCAGUGCUCUUAACUGCUGAUCCAUCUCCCUAGCCCUUUAAUUUUUUUUUUUUAAAGCAGGAUGGAAUAUCCCUUUAAUCCCAGCACUCAGAAGGCAGAGGCAGGCAGAUCUCUAAGUUCAAAGCAGGUGGAUUCCUAUGUGGGCUGGUCUACAACUUGAGUUCCCAAACAGCCAGGGCUACACAAAGAAACCCUAUCUCAAAACCAAACAACAAUAAUAAUACUAAAAUAAG